GGAUGAGCUCAAGCUUAAAAUCUCCGUGCAAUUUUUGCGCGGCGAAUUGUAGUCUAUAGAAGCGUGGUCAGUAUGGGCACUUGGGUUAAGUUCCUUGGAAGAGGACAGCAUGGAGGGUGAUACUCCCGUUCAUCCCUAAGUUGCUUGUGCGUACGACCCGUUUUCUUUGAGUCGCGUUGUUUGAGAAUGCAGCGCAAAGUAGGUGGUAAAUUCCAUCUAAAGCUAAAUAUUGGUGCGAGACCGAUAGCAUACAAGUACCGUGAGGGAAAGAUGAAAAGAACUUUGAAAAUAGAGUUAAAGAGUACCUGAAACUGCUGAAAGGUAACCAAAUCGUUUCCAGUGUCUAUAAUCCGUGGUAUAUUUCAUUGGCGAGCGUAUGCGUGCGUGUGCUGUUGCAGUGGCCUUUUUGGCUGCGCUCGGCGUGUGUGCUGUGUGUGCUUGCUGGUGCCCUGUGCUAUGGUGGGACGUCAAGGUCAGUUCGUAUGCUGCGGGAAAUGGCCACUGAGGAGGUAGGGCUUACGCUUGCGUUUGUCUGUUAUAUCUUGGUGGACGAGUAGUCGCGGUUGGGACUGAGGUGCCUACAACGUGCUUUUGAGUGGAUUUGGGUCUCCGUGUGCGCCGUGUGCGGAUAGCUUGCUAUGCGUGUGUGGUUGUGUAUGGAUUGAUGCGAGUCGUAACUUGUAGCCGUUCGGGACGUUGACG
rnacentral:rRNA from 1 species